CCGUUUUCUCAAGCGUUGCUCAUAAAUCGGUCAAAUUUUCCAAUUUAAUCACGCUUCAAUUUCUUGAUAGAGAAUUGAUUUUUCUUACCAGCCUUUUGGACCUUUGAUAUGACUUCGUUUGUGGUUACAGGUGCUGCGUUCUUCUGACCUUGUGUUAGAGUUUCAAUCAAAUGUCUUUCCUUCAAAUGGAUUCUUUUAUUAUUCACACGCAUUCUCUGGCAUCACUUUCGCUCUCUUGGUUCUUCUUCUUUUGCUUUCUUCCCCCAAUUUGUGUUGUAAUUGAGACUAUCUUUGGAUCUUAACCAGUACUUGGUAGAAAAGAGAAUUAUCGGAUUGGUAAAAAAGCAAUCUAAUUUUAUUUACUACUCAAUUCAUCUCUGGACUGAGAAGACAUAUGAAAAAGAAAUCAGUACAUAUUAAGAUGAUGUAUACAAAAAAAAAGGGUGAUUUUUAGGACGUUGAUGAGGAUAGAAAAACGGGAGAAA